rnacentral:rRNA from 1 species
UACGUAGGGGGCGAGCGUUACCCGGAUUUACUGGGCGUAAAGCGCGUGUAGGCGGCUGGUCAAGCGUGGUGUGAAAUCUCCGGGCUCAACCCGGAAACUGCAUUGCGAACUGACCUAGCUGGAGUGCAGGAGAGGGCAGCGGAAUUCCCGGUGUAGCGGUGAAAUGCGUAGAUAUCUGGAGGAACACCGGUGGCGAAGGCGGCAUCCUGGACCGAAACUGACACUGAGGAGCGAAAGCCAGGGGAGCAAACGGG